rnacentral:rRNA from 1 species
UGAGCUUGAUCCUGGCUCAGGACGAACGCUGGCGGCGUGCCUAAUACAUGCAAGUCGAGCGGACCUUUCAAAAGCUUGCUUUUGGAAGGUCAGCGGCGGACGGGUGAGUAACACGUGGGCAACCUGCCUGUGAGACUGGGAUAACUUCGGGAAACCGGAGCUAAUACCGGAUAAUAUAAGGAACCUCCUGGUUCUUUAUUGAAAGAUGGUUUCGGCUAUCACUCACAGAUGGGCCCGCGGCGCAUUAGCUAGUUGGUGAGGUAACGGCUCACCAAGGCGACGAUGCGUAGCCGACCUGAGAGGGUGAUCGGCCACACUGGGACUGAGACACGGCCCAGACUCCUACGGGAGGCAGCAGUAGGGAAUCUUCCACAAUGGACGAAAGUCUGAUGGAGCAACGCCGCGUGAGCGAUGAAGGCCUUCGGGUCGUAAAGCUCUGUUGUUAGGGAAGAACAAGUGCGAGAGUAACUGCUCGCACCUUGACGGUACCUAACCAGAAAGCCACGGCUAACUACGUGCCAGCAGCCGCUGGUAAUACGUACGC